GCUCCAGCUUGCUGGAGUGGAUCAGUGGCGAACGGGUGAGUAACACGUGAGCAACCUGCCCCUGACUCUGGGAUAACAGUCGGAAACGAUUGCUAAUACCGGAUAUGCACCAUGAACGCAUGUUCUGUGGUGGGAAAGAUUUUUCGGUUGGGGAUGGGCUCGCGGCCUAUCAGCUUGUUGGUGAGGUAAUGGCUCACCAAGGCGUCGACGGGUAGCCGGCCUGAGAGGGUGACCGGCCACACUGGGACUGAGACACGGCCCAGACUCCUACGGGAGGCAGCAGUGGGGAAUAUUGCACAAUGGGCGCAAGCCUGAUGCAGCAACGCCGCGUGAGGGAUGACGGCCUUCGGGUUGUAAACCUCUUUUAGCAGGGAAGAAGCGAGAGUGACGGUACCUGCAGAAAAAGCGCCGGCUAACUACGUGCCAGCAGCCGCGGUAAUACGUAGGGCGCAAGCGUUAUCCGGAAUUAUUGGGCGUAAAGAGCUCGUAGGCGGUUUGUCGCGUCUGCUGUGAAAACUGGAGGCUCAACCUCCAGCCUGCAGUGGGUACGGGCAGACUAGAGUGCGGUAGGGGAGAUUGGAAUUCCUGGUGUAGCGGUGGAAUGCGCAG
rnacentral:rRNA from 1 species